UCCAAUAGCGUAUAUUAUAAUUGUUGCAGUUAAAAAGCUCGUAGUUGAAUUUCGGGGUUAGUAGGUUGGUCAUGCCCCUGGUAUGUACUGGUCUCACUGAUUCCUCCUUCCUGAUGAACCGUAAUGCCAUUAAUUUGGUGUUGCGGGGAAUUUGGACUGUUACUUUGAAAAAAUUAGAGUGUUUAAAGCAAGCUAACGNUUGAAUACAUUAGCAUGGAAUAAUGAAAUAGGACGUUCGAUCCUAUUUUGUUGGUUUCUAGGAUUGACGUAAUGAUUAAUAGGGAUAGUUGGGGGCAUUAGUAUUCAAUUGUCAGAGGUGAAAUUCUUGGAUUUAUUGAAGACUAACUACUGCGAAAGCGUUUGCCAAGGAUGUUUUCAUUAAUCAAGAACGAAAGUUAGGGGAUCGAGGACGAUCAGAUACCGUCGUAGUCUUAACCAUAAACUAUGCCGACUAGGGAUCGGAUGAUGUUAAUUUUUUAAUGACUCAUUCGGCGCCUUACGGGAAAC
rnacentral:rRNA from 1 species